UUUGAAGUGUUUUUAUCACGAAAGUAUAUAUACUAUAUCGAUUGAUUAAAAAACGUCGACUAUCUUUUGAAAAAUAGUUCUUGUCUGUUUCAUCAAAGAAGAGGACGUGUUAGUCUAAAAGAAAAGUGUAGAUACUAGAUAGUAUAACGAUAAGAAAAGAGAUUUGUCAAGAAAAUGGGCAGCGGCUACACAAAAAUAGAAAAUCGUUAUAACGAACCGAUAAAAAUCGUUUUUGUUCACCCUUGCAAAAGAAGCAGUCAGUUUUACCUGGAUAAGAAUUGCAGUAAGACUAUCAAGUCAGAUAAAGGAUAUGUUUCAGUGUGUGUUUGUGAUACAGACGAAGCCGAAGAGCCUUACUCAAUUUUAACAGUUGGUGCAGGUACCAAUGUGUGGAUAGACAGCGACGCUUUAGACAAACCAGAGAUAUUCCGCUGCGUAAAACCAUCAACAUUUGAUGAAGUCAGAACGUUUGGCACAAUAGUAAAUACAUGCAAUUGUAAAACCUGUAAAACAGAUACAGAAACUGACGGAAAUAUUCAGCCGCAGUAGCUUUUUUCUCCGUGACGAUGUAGAAAAAGUACUUCAGAAAUGCCUGCUGUUUAAAUGGAAUUUGUGAAAGACAUUGAAAAUGCAACAUUUAAAUUGAGGACUAUCCUAGCGAUCAGUUGUUAUCAGUUGAUAGAAUGACAAAAGCUGUCAUUUCAAACUGUAAUUGCAAAAUGUACAUUGACAGUCACUGAUGGCAAAAUAAAUAAUAGAGAAGCUACAGCGCUAAGGAAAUUUUCAAAAUAAAGAAUGUGAUUUUCUUUUUUCAAAAUCUACUUGUGGCCGAGGUCAUUCUCCAACUGAAGGGUCGAAACAUUGUUAUAGUCCACCGCGUAUUCCAGUAGCAAGGACAAUUAUGGAGUUAACAAAAUUACACGGUAUACUAACGAAAGGUCAUUCUAAAAUUACUUUUGCCGAAGCAGCUACAGGAUUGUCAAAAACUCUGGUAGAUAUAAAAUUAAACAUUAUAAUAUCUUACAGAAUAAAGGAAAUAUAUUAGCUAUUGUUAAAAGAUGCGGCAGCGUUUGAUACAUGUUGACUGCAGAUAACUUGCUGUAAAUGUGUAUGUUCUAUCUGAUUGGUUCUGAGGAUCGGACCAUAAAUAUGAUUAACUUUGAAGGUUGAAUCGUAUAUAUGCUAGAAACGCUUCCUGUCGACAUAUCUGAGUUUAUUGUUUUGAUGUUUUUUUUGUAUACAGUGCACAUUGUAUAUAAACGAUUCUUUUCUUCUCUUAAACAAGUUUCUUUCUCAAAACUUAGUCUGCAAUUUUCUUGCAUAAUUAUACCAAUUGUUUCCUCCACAAGAAAUGAAAAUAGAAAAAAAAAGCCUUUAAACGACUUCUUUCCGCGAACCGUUUGGUCUUCAUCAAACUAUGUUAGUGGUAUUAAUACAUUGACUUAUUUUAAGUGUUUAUUCUCUCUGUCUACAGGGAAAUCAUAACUAAAAAAAAGACAAAAAUAGUGAUUAGUGAACUUUUCACGUAAGCAUUUAAAUGGAAUUGUAUCAAACUUUGUCUCAAGAAUCAUCACAAUUACAUCUGUCCUCUCAAACACCUGCCAUAUAAUAUUUAGAUAUCGGCACAUUUGUCUAAUUUAUUUCGAUUCUGACUAUGUGUGAUUGAUAUAACACCGAUACACAUCUAAGUCUAACAGUCUGACUCCAGUUAGCUAAUUACAAAGAUUGCGGAAGUGGAGCACAUUACGAAUUGUAAAGUUACAAUAUUAUAAUAACUGUAUAUUUUGUAAAUAGCGCAGAAAGUAAUGUUGAUACAUUUUAUUUUAACAAUAAACUUUUUUGAGCUUACCUUAAUGUAAAGAUGCAAGUAAAAAGUAAAUUCUGUCCUGCUUAUUUCUUAUAACAAACAGUAUUCGUUUAGGUAUCGUUUCACGCUCAAUAUCUUCUUCACUUUGUCGUAAAUUCUUGUCAAACUUACACAAAUAGCCGAACAAGAAUGUAAAUACGCAAAAUAUUCAAUGCUUUUAUCAUGUUUAUAUCGGAGUUGCAUUUAUUUUUGUUAUUGUUCCUCACUGAAAAUAAAAAUUGAAGUUAU